GGUUCCAUAGUGUAGUGGUUAGCACACCUGCCUCUGAAGCAGAGAGCAGACAGGCCUGGGUUCAAUUCCCAGAGGAAUUG